UUCUCUCCAGCCUCAUGACACCCCCUUCUGUGCGGCACAUACCGUAGACCGUGAUCACAUUCGAAGGGAUUGCUGGAUCACUGUGCAUCUCCUGGCAGGAACGAGGGCUCUUCACGCCUCUGAAUCUCCCGGACCCGGUGUGCCCCAGCUCCCUACUGAGUGACUCCUGGAGAGACGGACAAACAAACAAAUCGAAACAGCUGAUAAGAGACGCAACCGGAGCCGUCCGUGAGCAGCUCACGUUCCUGACAAAAUGCUCGGCCUCCAAGCCUCUGGACGUCACCAAGCGGCGGUUCUGAGCUCAUCAGGGAGAGCAGCUCCGCACUGAGCAAACAGACGCACCAACGCCGCGGAGCUGCGGACAUAUUUCUCGGCGACCCGAUCAAAUUAUGUAAUGGCACUAUCUGAUCCGCAGCCAUCUAUCACACACGGGAUCAUCAAGGACUCGCACCCAUUUAUCUCUCUGGUGCCCUCGGUUUACAAUUUGGCAUUAGGAUAUUAGGAAUAACAAUAAUUACUUGCUUUUACAUUGCUUCAAACGAAAGAAAUCAUUAAACGGCACACAUGAAAAGAUGAUCUCAUGUCGAAGGCGGCUUUGUUCGCGUUGCUUCCUUGCUCGCUUUUGCUUCUUCCCGCAUUCCCGCCUUCCUUUCCCACCCCCA